UUAUCAGACUUAUUACAAGGUUGUUCCAACUUGUCUGAUACAGUCAUGAUAUAACAGGAAUGUUACAAGGUGGACGGCACAAGGUUGUAACAAUAUUGUUAUAUUAUGACUAUAUCGGACUUGUUGGAACAACCUUGCAACAAGUCUGAUAA
rnacentral:miRNA from 1 species